GAUCUUCUCUCCGUCCCCACUCAACGCCGCCGCGUCAGGCUCUGGCGCUCUGCUGCCUGCAGACCUGACCUGACCGGAGCGGACCGCCGGCCGUCCGCCAGCUCCGGCGAUUAAUUCUCGCGCAGAGACCGCCGCUUCCGUGGUCGCCGUCGUCAAUCUGCGGUGGGUUACUGGAGUCAGGUGCUCCUUCCCAUGGGAUUCUUCUGGGUGCGCCUCAUUGAAGCAUCUAUAGCAGUAUGCUUUGCCUAUCACCUUAAUGAUAGGAGCAUACGUUGGUGAUGCUGAAAGAGAAGGUGGUGGUAAGCUUCUGGCUGCCUCACCGAGCAUUGCCAUGGCAACCAGCACGGCUAAGACCAGCCAUAGCUGGCGCUUUGGCUGGCUUCCAACGCUUACUUCCAUGCCUGGACAGUGCUUUCUGAAGUGAGAAGAGGAGAUGGGAGAAUGUGAAUGAUUUUGGCUUUGGUAUGGAUGAGUAUUUAUAAUGUUCAAGGUGGCACUUGGCAGGGUCUCUGGGGAAGCAGGUGGAGCUGGUAAGGUGGUAUGGCCAUUUGAAUGAUUAGAGACUGUACUUCCCUCAAAAAAGAAAAAAAAGAGCAUGUACACUUUGUCACCACUUGAUUUCAGAGAGAAGAUGUAAUUAGUUGUGAUUUAUGAUAACCUUUUGUAGUUGGAGUAUAUGAAUCUGCUUGUAUGUUAUUUCAGAGAAUAAGUAUUGUAGGUUUUGAAGUAAUCGCAGAGCAACAAUUAUGUUAGCCAUGAAAACAAAAUCAUCAACGUGAUGCACAUAUUUACUUA